rnacentral:rRNA from 1 species
GACAGGGGGCUCGAGCGUUAAUCGGAAUCACUGGGCUUAAAGGGUGCGUAGGCGGUCCUGUAAGUGUCUCGUGAAAGCCCCCGGCUCAACCGGGGAACCGCGGGGCAUACUGCAGGACUUGAGGAAGCUAGAGGCGGGUGGAACGAUCGGUGGAGCGGUGGAAUGCGUAGAUAUCGAUCGGAACGCCAAAGGUGAAGACAGCCCGCUGGGGCUUUCCUGACGCUGAGGCACGAAAGCGUGGGUAGCAAACAGG